UGGAACUCACAAAGCACACACAAAGAAAAAAAAAAGUGUGGGCUCAAAAAUUUUGCAUAGAGAGAGAAAGUACGACAGAUAUAAAGUUGUGGAGAGAGAAAGGAAGAAAGAAAAGUUCGUUUUAGAGACGUUACCGGACUCCAAAGCAACAUUCCGCCGGAAUUUACUCACACCUAUUUCACGUCCGGUCUAGGUUUUUUCAAUUUCAAUUCAAAUAAUAAUAAUAUUAAUCCCUAGUUCCUCUUCUAAUUCUAGGGUUUCUCUCUCUCUCUCUCUGUUUCUCUCUCUCUCAGUCUUUUUGAUGGUCUUCAGUUUCAAACCCUCAAUUCUGUAGAAAUUCUAGGGUUUCUUUCACUGCUGGGGCCUUUAUAAAUUUGGGUUUUGUAGAUUUAGUGAGGUUAGAGGGGCAAUUCCGAUGUUUACGCCACAGAAGAAAGUGUGGUCGGGGUGGUCGUUGACGCCGAGAAGCGAAGCGGGUCAAAAGAAUGGAAGCGAGUCCGGGUCGGAUCCGAAGGGAAAGAGUGUGGGUUUUGUUGAACAAGUGACGCCUAAUGGAGUGCGACCCAAUUUGGACGGUGAAUAUUUGGCGGAUAAGGUUUCAAAGCUUGAGAAUGAGCUAUUUGAGUACCAGUACAAUAUGGGGCUUCUCUUGAUUGAGAAGAAGGAGUGGGGUUCUAAGCAUGAAGAACUCAUGCAAGCAUUUACAGAAGCAACGGAAGCUGUCAAACGGGAACAAGCUGCACAUUUGAUUGCACUUUCUGAUGCUGAAAAGCAGGAAGAGAAUUUGAGAAGAGCCUUGGGUGUUGAGAAACAAUGUGUGCUUGAUUUAGAGAAGGCAGUGCGCGAGAUGCGUUCAGAAAAUGCAGACAUUAAAUUUACAGCCGAUUCAAAACUGGCUGAAGCAAAUGCAUUAGUUAUGAGUAUUGAAGAGAAGUCUCUGGAGGUAGAGGCAAAAUUGCGUGCUGCUGAUGCCAAGCUUGCAGAAGUGAGCAGAAAGAGUUCUGAGAUUCAGAGGAAAUUGCUGGAUGUGGAAUCUCGAGAAAGUUCUCUUCGAAGGGAGCGCUUGUCCUUCAUUGCAGAGAAAGAGGUGUACGAGACCACUUUUUCUAAGCAAAGGGAGGACUUGCAAGAAUGGGAGAAGAAAUUACAAGAAGGAGAAGAGAGGCUAUCAAAGAGUCAAAGAAUUAUUAACCAAAGAGAAGAAAGGGCAAAUGAAAACGAUAGGAUCGUUAAGCAGAAAGAGAAGGAUCUUGAAGAGGCUCAGAAGAAGAUUGAGGAUGCAAACUCAAUUUUGAAGAGGAAAGAAGAUGAUAUUAGUAACCGGCUCACUAAUCUAACUAUAAAGGAAAAGGAAUUUGAUGCUACAAGAAAGAAAUUAGAGGUGAAAGAAGUAGAGUUAUGUGUGCUAGAAGAAAAGCUAAAUGAGAGAGAGAGAGUUGAGAUUAAGAAGCUAACUGAUGAACACAAUGCCAUUUUGGAUGUAAAGAAGCAUGAAUUUGAGUUGGAAGCUGAACAAAAGAAGAAGUCUUUGGAUGAGGAUCUCAAAAACAAGGUAAUUGAGCUAGAAAAAAGGGAAACUGAAAUCAAACAUAAGGAAGAGAAAGCUGCAAAACGAGAGCAGGCAUUGGAUAAGAAACUGGAGAAGUGUAAGGAGAAAGAGAAUGAAUUUGAAUCAAAGUCAAAAUCUCUGAAGGAGAGGGAGAAGGCCAUCAGAUCUGAACAGAAGAAUUUGGAGGGAGAGAAAAACCAACUGGAAUCUGCUAAAGAGAAUUUUCUAAAUCUUAAAGCUGAACUGGAAAAAACCAGGGCUUCAAAUGAAGAACAGCUUUUGAAAAUUAACGAAGAGAAGGAGCGUCUCAAAGUGAGCGAGGAAGAGAGGUCUGAGUAUGCCCGCUUGCAAGCUGAGCUCAAGGAGGAAAUAAAUAAAUGUAGGCUUCAGGAAGAGCUGCUUUUGAAGGAGGCUGAUGAUUUAAAGCAGCAAAAAGGGAAUUUUGAGAGAGAGUGGGAAGAUCUGGAUGAAAAAAGGGCUGAGGCUGAGAAAGAGUUGAAGAGCAUUUGUGAACAGAAGGAAAAAUUUGAAAAAUAUAGACUCUCUGAAGAAGAAAGAAUAAGAAAUGAAAGAAAGGAAACAGAAAACUACAUAAAAAGAGAUCUGGAAGCUCUGCAAGUGGCCAAGGAAUCAUUUGAGGCCAACAUGGAGCAUGAGCGGUCUGUGAUGGCUGAGAAAGCUCAAAAUGAGAGAAACCAGAUGCUACAUAGCAUCGAGAUGCAGAAGACUGAGCUUGAGAAUGAAUUACAAAAAAGGCAGGAGGAGAUGGACAGGCUUUUGCAAGAGAAGGAGAAACUGUUUGAGGAAGAGAGAGAGAGAGAAUUUAAGAAUAUUAAUUUCUUAAGAGAUGUAGCUAGAAGAGAAAUGGAAGAUAUGAAACUGGAAAGGCUUAGGAUAGAGAAAGAGAAGCAAGAAGUUGAUGAAAAAAAAAGGCAUCUUCAAGAGCAACAAAUUGAAAUGCGAGAAGAUAUUGAUAAGCUGGGCAAUCUUAGUAGAAAGUUGAAGGAUCACAGGGAGCAAUUUAUUAAAGAGAAAGAGCGUUUCAUUGUAUUUGUUGAGCAAAACAAGGGUUGCAAAAACUGUGGUGAAUUGACCUCUGAGUUUGUGCUUUCUGAUUUGAUAUCUUCACAAGAAAUUGAGAAAGCUGACGGCCUUCCUACAUCAAAGUUGGUUAAUAAUCAUGUGACCACUGAUGAUGGAAAUCCGGCUGCUUCUGAGAAGCACGAUAGCGAGGUAUCUCCCACUCUAGCUCAUUCUGUAUCUCCAGUUUCUUGGCUGCGCAAGUGCACAUCAAAGAUACUUAAGUUCUCUGCUGGUAAAAGGAUUGAGCCUGCUGCUUUACAAAAUUUGACUGAUGGCACACCCCUGUCUGGUGAGCAAGUUAAUGCAGAAGAAAUGUCAAAAAGAUUAGAUUUUACUGAAAAUGAACCAGAGCUAUCUUUUGCAAUUGUCAAUGAUUCACUUGAUGCCCAGAGGGUGCUCUCUGAUACAAGCAUCAGAGAGGUUGAAGCUGGACAUGAUUUAUCGAUUAAUGAUCAGAGCAACAAUAAUGGUACAGCACCAGAAAUUCAGGAAGAUUCCCAACCUUCUGGAUUAAAGCGUGAUCCCCAACCUCGUAAAAGGGGUAGGCCAAGAGGUAGCAGAACACGCUCUGUCAAGGAAGUUGUCCAAGAUGCCAAAGCUCUCCUGGGGGGUGCUUUGGAAUUAAAUGAGGCUGAAGAUUCUGGCCAUCUGAAAUCGGAAAGCCGUGAUGAAUCAAGUCUUGCUGAUAAAGGAGGUCCAAGAAAUGCCCGGAAGCGGAGUCGAACUCAGACAUCUCAAAUUUCAGUGACCGACCGUUACGGUGAUGACAGUGAAGGUCAUUCUGAUAGUGUCACUGCUGGUGAUCGCAGGAAGAGACGGCAAAGGGUUGUUCCCAAUCAAACUCAAGGCCAAACACAAUAUAAUCUUCGGCUACGCAAACUUGGAGUCACUGUUGUAACUGCUAAAGCCUCAUCAAACCUGAACAAUGCAAAGGAGAAAGAGGAUGAUGGUGUUAGUAGUCCACAGGAUGGAAAUCUAUUGAGAAGUGCUCCAGCAGCUUCUGCAGGGGCUGCCAGUGAGAAUGGUGAAAGCAUGCACUUUGCAAGGUGUGCAAAUAUUAUGGACACUCUGGACGGUGAUGGCAGUGCAAGAAGGAUGGAUGAGAAUGCUGCACUGAGUGAAGAGAUAAAUGGAACGCCAGAAGGGGUUGGGGAGUAUGGUAUUGCAGAUGAGAACAGAAGUGAAACCCCUAGAGGUGAAAAUGAAGAUGAGGAUGAAGAUGAUGACGAGGAAGAGUCUCUGCAUCCUGGUGAAGUCUCAAUAGGAAAGAAGCUCUGGACUUUCUUGACGACGUAAUGAUAGUAAAUCUUGUGCUCCAGUUGGGUGAGACUUAAAUGGGUUCUUGAUUGUUCCAAUUUUUUUUUAGGAUUGUUGUUAGGAGGUCUUUGAUGUGAAGUAGUGUGUAUUAAAAAGUUUAACUGUUAUGAUGAUUUCAAGGCUUAACCCAGGUGCAAGGGAUCUGGUUUUCUUCCCCCCUGGUUUUGGUUUGUUAGGAUUCAGGAUUUUUUGGAGCUGCUAUCUUUUAGAACAAGGAGUGACGUUUGAAGAAACUGCGGUCUCAGUCCUUGUUCUUUGUCAGCUAUUCUGCCUGUUAGGUGGUAUGAUGCCCACUUCGAGUACAAGGAAGAGUGAAGAGGCGAUGUUCUAUGAAAACAAGAACACCUUAUUGGAUAAUCAAUGAUUUAGUUUGAAUUUGUCAUUCAUUUUGAUGGCAUCAUGUAGAUGUACCUAGGAGUGAAAUUGAUUUGUGAAAUAGUUUGGUUGCUCAAUGAACACUGAUUUUUUGGCCAA